rnacentral:tRNA from 3 species
UUAUGUUGUCGACUAAUCGGUAAGUCAUAAAUUUUUGGUAUUUACUAUUGGGUGUUCGAGUCGCCCCAACAUAAA